rnacentral:misc_RNA from 1 species
CGCCACUGUGGAACGGCCGGUAAACAAUACUAACGCAUACCUUGCUACGAACGCACAAUUAUAGGCAGAAUUUUCUAUAGUGGUACCGACAGUUUUUAGUAAAUAUCUCAAAAAUCAAGACCGACUGUCAUCUAUAUGUAUAGGAAAAAGAUAUUCAACUUACCGAGGUUUACAACACAUUUCGAAAUCAUCGAAAUUGGAGAGGAAAUAGUUUCUCUGCAGUUCUACCAUAUAAUAUGUACAGCAAGUUCCGCAGUCGCGGCUGCACCACAACACUGAGCGGCAUAGUGAAGAGGAGAUCCUCCGCGAAGAUCGGGUGUGGAUGGCCGAGCACCCGCCGCUAACACCAAGCGAACACAUUCUGCUUCCCCGCACACUGAGCAAAUGAAUAUACACUUAUAAUGUAUACAUACACUUCGUAAUAUACACAUUUCGUAAUAUUCUAAUCGUAGAUAAAAUAUUCUCUAAAGCUGCUUAUUAAAAUGUACAUAAUGUACUCUGUAAUGACAUCAAUAAGAAAUAAGUAAAUAAUAUUUUCAUGAUUAUUAUUAAACAACAUAUUGUAGCAACUUAAAUAAAUUUAAAUUUUAAAUUUGAUAUAUAUAUCAACUUCGUAGGCCUUUUGCUUUGCAAAUGUCGUAAUAAAUUACAUAAGAGCUUGGAUUAAACAUUUUGAACGUUAGGUCUCUGUUUAUAUACUAAGAAAUUAAUGUGGUUAGUUACUUUAAAUAUAAACAUAAAUCAAUUUACUACGCACAUUAAACU